UUGUGUUAAUUUAUUCAAUGUUGGAGUAAACUAUCAGUAUGUUUGAAUAGAAAUAAUUGUGUGUUAAACAUGUUAACUUACUUUGGAUAAUUGACAAACUGUUUAGGCGGAUAAUAAUAAAGUUAUACAAAAGCGUGGCGUAUAGUCAUCUGGCGAAUAGAUUUUGGGCGGGAAUUUUCUAGUAGAUCACCUUAGCAUGUUUUGUUUUUUUUUUAAUCGUACAACAUUUUAACGACUUUAAAAAUAGAUUUCUUUGAUGGUUUUGUUUUGUGAAUGUCUCUAUUCUACUGUAGCAUCUCGUAAUUUAGGCCCGAUGACCAAGCCAGACGAAUGGUGUUACACUUCUCUUUUUACAAUAAGGCGAACCUGUCAUCCACUAGAAUUAUGCCAUGGUUAGUCAUGGACCUUCGACUCCAAUGAGUCAUUAAACAUUCUCAUUGUAUCGCUCCAUAAAGCUAGUGUACAGCCCAAAUUUUCCCGGGCCUCCAAACCAAAUGGUCCAAAUCCAUUUACAAAAUUUUAACCCAAUCCUGAAGCCUAAUUACAAUACCCGGCCCAAAGCCCAACAGCCCCAAAAAAACCUAAUGGUCAAACUAGGGUUUUAGUUUUCUGAAACCCUAAUCUCUACUGUAGGUGGCCGCUAGUCCCAUCAUCACCCUACCUCCGCGCCAUCGACCCUGGUCACCUCAGCCACCUGCUUUCUGCCCACCUGCAAAACGAAAAAGAACACGCAAUGGCAGCCCAAAUAGCAGAGAAGCAAUAACAAACAGAGAAAAAGCAAAUAGGCAUUUUGGCUAUAAAAUCAAGAAAUUCAAUGUAAUCAGGGGGCAAAAUCACUGUAAUCGGGGGUAUUUUUCUUUUAUUUUGUUCUUCUUUUCUUUCGGUUAAAACCGAAUCUGCUGUAAGGAAGAAGAAGUUAUUCCUUUGCUUCUACGAUUAUUGAGAAAUAAAAACAAAAACAAAACAAACUUUUGAAGUUUUUUUUUUUUAGAUUUGCGUUUAUGUUUAUUUCAUUUUAUUUUAUUUUUAUUUUAUUUUCUACAUAAGAAAUAAAUAAUAAAAAGGGAAGGACGAGGACUUACCUGCGCCGUCGCCGGACCUAAAUCGGAAAGAGGGUGGGUUGAGUCUCUCAUCUUCGCUUUUAGGGAUCGAAAAACCCAUAUAUUUAGGUUCAUAUUAGAGCUCGGAAAUAGGGGACCUCCUCUCGCCGUGUCGGCCUUUGGCAGGGGUGACUGCACGGCGAAUCGCCGUCAAGGUUGGCGCCGGAUCUCAGAGGGCCAAAAGGGAUGGAGGCUCUGCUUUUUUUUUUAUUUUUUUGAGGCUGCUGAAAUAAACUAGGGUUUUUUUAAGGGAUUUUAAAAGCUUCAUUAAACGGCGCCGUUUUGGUGUUUGGCCCGUGACCCGACCCAAUGGCCCCUAGGAUCCGCGUGUUUCUGCGGUGAGGGGAUAUUUUGCGCGCAAGGCCCUUCCUCUUUGAGCUGUAGUGCAAUCGGGUCUUUCUGGUUUUUAUAUUUUGGCCGCAUAAUUUUUUGAUAGUUCCAUUUUUGUCCGAAAUGGAACACUGAGCUUGAGGGAGGGGAAUAUUUCCUAAUCGAUCCCUCAUCCCUUAAGCGUGUUUCAUUUUAGCCUCAAAUUACCCUUUUUACUUAUUUAUGUUUCAACCCCCAAAGUUCACCUUAAGUUUUAAUUUAAUCCUUUUGUAUUUUGUUUAUUUUCCUAUUAAAUAAUAAAUUUGAUGUUAUACUAUUGUUAAUUAUUAUUGCUGUUACUUGCUCAUUUAUACCUUUAAAAUUUUAAAUUUUAUCAUAUAUAUAUAUGUAUAUCUUUAUCUUUAUUUUUUAUAUUUUCAUAUUUUAUAAUUUGUAUCUAUGUAUCUAUAUACAUACUUUUAUUCCUAUAAAAAUAUACGCAUACCUAUAUGUUCUACAUUUUCAUAUAUUUUUACACACAUAUAUUUUUAUGCUUUAUAUUUCUAACAUACGUACAUAUAUAUAUAUAUAUAUUUUUAUAUAAUUUUAUUCAUUAUUAUUGUUUCACUUGGUGUUCAUUUAUUUAUUUAUUUACAUGCUCAUUAUUAUUAUUAUUUACUUAAGUGUUUUAGUUUGUAUUCGCAAAUCUACUUUUAUUUGUGUAUACAUUGUUGAUUUCUUUUUAUUAUACAUUUACCAUCUUAUUUAUCCUUUUUAUUUGCAUGUAUUAUUUUAUUUACAUUAUCAUCAUCAUUCCAUUACCCCCAUUUUUUUUAUUUAGAUUUAAAAAAAAUUUAAAAAUAUAAGUAAUAUUCGGUAUUUAGGAUCUUCGAGAGAAUCGAGCCCUAACGUAUUGAGUUUCGACUUUCUGCGUUGAAUUUAAAUAAUCGAGAUUACUCUUUUAAAAAUGAUAAAAAGCUCGUUAUCGAGAAUUCAAUACAUUGUGUCCUAACGCAUUGGACGUGACACGUUGUUUUCUCGAGACGAAGAUUUUUCGAAAUAAAUGCAAUAUUCAAUGUUUAAUAUUUUGAGAAAUUGUGCCCUAACGUAUUAGGUUGUGAUUUCUUCAUUUGAUUUAAGCAAUUAAAUAUUAUUUUAAACUUUAUUACACGAAUAUUUUCAAACUCAAGUAUUAAACGAUAUUGGGAUUUAAAAAAGGAUCAUGUCCUAACUUACUGGUCGUGAUCCUUUUUUUUAAUCCAAAAUAGUUAAAUAUCUUUUAAAUAAGUAAAUUUUUGACAUUUAUUCGUGUAUUAGGAAUUCGAGACAUUGUGUCCUAACUUACUGGAUAUGAUGCUUGUUUUUUCGAUUAACGUGAAAUAUGCCCCAUUUUCUCAAAAUUUUCAACAUUUUAAUUCAAGGAUCGUAUUUUUAAAAUUCUUCAAAGUUUUCAAUUUUCGACAUUAAGACGUCAGCUAAUCAACUAGGUACCAAUUUUGGGCGUUACGAGGGUGCUAAUCCUUCCUCGUACAUAACCGACUCCCGAACCCGUUUUUCUGAAUUUUGUGGACCAAACUUGUUGUUUUAAUAAAAUCAAAUCAUUAUUAAAACAACCACUUUUCGAGGUGAUCCGCUCACACCUCAUAAAAAAGGAUCGGUGGCGACUCCCAUUUUCGUUUUCAUUUUUCAAAACCCAAGUCGACCCCAUUUUUGUCAAAAAAUAGUGUCAACAGCUUGGCGACUUCGCUGGGGACCAAAAUAAGUGAGUCAAGCCACGAGUUGAUUAAUCUUUAUCUUUUUGUCGAAAAUCGAAAACUUGGUUUAAAUAUACGAUCCUUUCGUUGCAUUUCACUCAUCUUUAUUACGAUAUUCAUCAUGGUGGUUUAUAAUUGCCCUGUUUGUUUAAAUUUGUGUAUCUUUCUGCACAUUGCAUUGCAUGACCGUUGGUCACACCCUUUUAAGUGGGAGUGAGAAGCUACGCCUUCGUGAGGUUUUCACCUCCGCAUGGGAUAGUGAAUCACUUUCGGGAUAUAUCCGUACCUAUGUCUUAGUGAGAUUUUCAUCUCCGCAUGGCCAUAGGGAAAUGUAUCCCCCUGAACUGAACCCAAUCUAUAUGACCCUAAUCGGUGAGGAUCGAGGAAUAUGCUGGUUCGGGUACCCUUACUUUAGAACCAAACCUCAUGUAGUGAACCUUAGGAGCCCACCCUAGGUAAAACCACUUCGAACCCUUAGUGGUCACCCGAAUAGGUGUUCUAUUUAUUCUUGCUUGAUUUUGCUUUGGACUAACUUGUUUUCUUUUUUUUUAUGACUGCAUUGCAUUUUCAUCAUAGAAAAGAGGUGUUGAUUCAAAUUUGAUUGCUAAAUAGAAAAGCUUGUCAUGGAAAACGAAUUUCUUGAUAAAGUAGGAUAUGAUGCGACUGCCUGACUAUGGACUGAUUAAACACAACGAGAGAAGGCUAGAAGUCCUUGGAGGAAUAUACGACUAUGCUUUGCCACUUGAGGAUUCAAACCGACAAAGAUAAUUUGAAACCAGUCACGAAACUAAAGAGCAUCGUGGGGGAGCAUUGGGUUGUAGCUCGGAUCAAACAAGAAGGAGAUAGUAGAGACAGAUUUUGGAAAUUCGUAAGAUUUGAUCUUAGCAUUCAUAUAAAGAAGGAGAUCAAUGUAUUCGCCUGGAAUAUGAGGGUAAAGCCACAUAUGUAAUCUAUUUUAUGUAAAGAAAUUUGUCUUCUAGAAAAGUUGCUCUAAUAGAAUUGAAUUCAGAAUCAAUGCCUCUCUUUCUUUUUGUAUUCAUUUCAUGCAUUUGUAUUACAGUGCAUCAUUUGCAUUAGAUUUUCACAAAAUGACCUAAUUAGGUAAAAUUAUUUCAGCUAACCUGGAAACUAAUAAGAGUCAACCAAUCGAACAUCACUACGGUACCCGUCUCAAGAGAAAAGUAAUGGAUUAGAGGUUAGAAAGAUUGGAACAAUUGCAAAAAGAAAUGCAAGAUAAGAUGCAAGAACAAUUGGAUAAAAUCCAACAAGACGCGCUGGAAUCCCAAAGAAUUAUGAGCCAACUGACACAAUUAUUGGCUGAUAAAGGAAAGAGCCCUGUAAUCAAUUCGGGAUUUGAUCAGGAGGGCCCUGUUUAUCCUCCAAGUUUUGCCCCAACGGACACUCAAGCACAACCGGAUAUGUAUCCACAUAGAGCGCGUGAUCGCAUUAGACCUCAAUGCCAAGUCGGUGCCUCGGCACCAAUGAACUACCUGACAGGCUCAGGUUCCAAUCAAAGGAACGAUCCAACCAAUCUUGUAGUUCCUGAUUUAGACAAAAUGGUAGAAGCAAGGGUAGAACUACCAAAGCAAUUCAAAGAUCAGUUUAGGUGGUUGGAAGAAAAACUCAAAGCAAUGGAGAAUGCUGAUUACCCUUGCAGGGUUGACGCCAAGGAUCUAAGUUUGGUCCCAAAUCUAGUACUCCCGCUGAAAUUCAAGGCUCCAGAAUUCAAAAAAUACAAUGGGACUAGUUGUCCUGAAGCUCACAUCACGAUGUUCUGCCGAAGAAUGACAAGAUAUAUUGAUAACGAUCAACUGUUAACUCAUUGCUUCCAAGAUAGUCUGAUCGGGUGGGCUGCCAAAUGGUACAACCAGUUGAGCCAUGCCAAUAUCCACUCAUGGAAAGACUUGGUACAGGCUUUCAUGAAGCAAUAUGGCCACGUGACAAACAUGGCACCUGACAUAGUUACACUACAGAACAUGGAAAAGAAGCAAAGUGAGAGCUUCAGAUAAUAUGCCCAAAGAUGGAGAGAGGUAGCAACGCAAGUCCAACCACCUCUUCUGGAAAAAGAAACCACGGUGCUUUUCGUCAACACUCUGAAAACCCCAUUCAUUAACCACAUGUUGGGAAGUGCUACCAUGAGCUUCUCAGAUAUGGUAAUGUCUGGCGAGAUGAUUGAGAAUGCCAUAAGAAGUGGAAAGAUAGAUACGAAAGAAAGCUUCAAAAGAUCAACCCCAAAGAACAAAGAAAAUAAAGUAAGCAACCUGAGCAUGUAUAAUGAAGGGUAUCCCAAAUCGAUCAUUAUGCCCCAACCAAGGGUCAUAACUAUCGGCUAUCACAGUAUUAAAAUCGUAUCCAAAAAGGGGGUUGGUUAGGAGAACACUUGGAAGCGUAUUUAAUAGUAAGACUAUGGAAGAGAUCCUUGUAUUUUUUGAGCUAAUUCGGAGUAAUGUCCAAAACACGCUUAUUGCUCUAAGCCUAGGGGCAAUAAGAAUCCUUUUGUGAGAUAGGCUUAUGUCGAACAUCUUUAUUUCAAUAAAAUGCAUCUUUGUUUCUCACUUCGAGUAAAUAUUCUUUUAUUGUUUCCAUUUCAUUCAUAAUCAUACUAUACAGAUAAAUAUUCGUAGAUUCUUUUAUUCUUUGGAUCUACUUUUAUCCUAUAACAGGUCUCCAGGUAUCAAUGAUAUGAGCAACACUGAUAUUGACUCAGAACCUCCUUUUGAGCAGGAUAUGUGUCUAGAGGAACCUCGGGACUUUGGAGAUAACUGAGACUAUAGCUUAUCUCCUGAUUUGUUCCGGAUGGUAGAACAAGAUCCUACCUUACAAGGAAUCUAUGGAAGUCAUGGCAUUCCUCUAUGUGGGGCAUGGAUGUCAUUGAGCCAAUCUCGCCUAAGGUUUUUGGCGAUCAUCAAUUCAUCUUUAUGAUCGUCGAUUAUCUCAAUAAGUGGGCAAAAGCUACUUCAUAUGCCGAUGUCACAAAGUCAACGGUCAGCAAAUUCCUGAAAAAGAAAUCAUAUGUCAGUAUGAAAUACCGAAAAGGAGCAUACCUGACAAUGCACUAAAAUUGAACAACGGCACGAUAUCAGAAGUUUGCAAUCUGUUCAAGGUUAACACAUUUCGCCCCAAAAUGUACGGCGCAGUGGGAGCAAAGAUAAAACAAAAAAGGAAGAGAAAAAACUGUUACCAAGGCAACACCUUGCCUUAUCGUAGUUUUUCUCAUUGAGGUCAAGAUUUUUUCUCUCCGAGUGUCGAAUCAGAUCUUGAUUGAAAAGAAAUGUUCAAAGUUAUCCGUCUUGGUCAAAGGCACCAAAAAAAAAAGACGCGAGCUCAUCAGAGAAGGUUCGCCCUAGAGAGUUCCAUGAAGGAGACCUAACAUCGAAGAAAAUCCUCCCCAUACAAAAAGGGCUUUAGCAGAAAGAAGAUGUCAAACUGAAAAAGACCUUAUGUGGAAGGUUUUAUCUAGAGAAGUGUUGAUUUUGACCAGAAAGGAUAGCAAGGACUUACCUGAUCCUACGAGUUCGAAUUCAAUCAAAGAAUGCAAAAAGAAAAAGAAAAAGAAAAAGAAAAAGGAGAGGCCAAGGUGAAAACCCACAAAGGGCGCCUUGAGACCAAAGGGGUUUUGAAUUGAAAACCCGGGAAUAGGCAAUUCAAAUUUUGAUCAAAGGUGGGGCAUGUGGCAACUUGUUCUCCCUGAAUUAGCAAGAAGGUGAGACGCUACAUCUCGGGGCAUCAACACAUUCUUCUAGGACUUCUAGACACAUAUCAAGUUCAAAAGGAUCCUCAAGAAGUUUGGGGCAGAGAAGCUCAUACUACGAUACCUGGGAUACCUACUUUCAUUUUAUUCAUUGUCAUAUUUUGACAAGUACAUCAUCUUGAUUAAUUUGCUAUCAUUUUUGUAUCUUAGCAAAAUUUGCUAUCUUGAUUAUUUAUUCAUUUCGAGCUUUGCCCUCAAUAAAAUUUCAUCUUAUCCAUUGUGAUAAUUUAAUUCAUUUCGUAUCUUAGCAAAAUUUUCCAUCUUAAUUUUAAGCUUUAUUCUCAAUAAAAUUCCAUAUUAUCUAUUGUGAUAAUCCUUUUCAUCAUAUUCAUUUUGAAUCUUAGCAAAAUUUGCUAUCUUGAUUAAUUUAUUCAUCGCGAGCUUUGUUCGCAAUAAAAUUUCAUCUUGUCCAUUUUGAUAAUUUUUUUCAAGCAUUUUUUAUUGAAAUAAUGAUUAAUGGACUGAUAAUAUUCAAGCAAAAGGAGUUUUUCAUAUUACUCUGAAAGCUUCUAAAUAAUACAGGAACCUGAAACAGGACUAUUGUUUAGAACACACCAAGUUUAAAGGUUGAAAUGUCUAAGAAUAAAAAGUCUAAAUUAAGACUAUCCUUUUAGAUUUUUUUUUUCAAGUAUGGGUUGAACGAAACGACGAAAUGUCGUGUUGGUGACAAAGCUUCAAUGAACAAACAAGCAAUGAUCACCGAGUGAUAAAAAGAGGUUAUUGGAAGAGAAAAUUCCACAAUGUUGCAUAAAAAUUUGGUACAACACCCUGGGAAUGGUGUAGAAGACCAAAGAGAUUUAGAUCCUGUAUCCCUGAAUUACAGUAGGAGAGGAUUGAGAAAGAGCCAGAUCUUAUACUCAGUGGGAGGAAGAUGGCUCGAACUUUAUGUCCCAAAAUUAUCGUGGGCUUAACCUUGAAGAUUACGACAGAUUAAACUUUGAAAAUUAUAGUAGGGGCAAUCCGAUCAAGUAAAAGAUGAGCAUUACCAACUGGACAAAAUAGCAUUUGGACAUGUUGGCAAUAAAGCCUUAUUGAGCAAUGGGCAAUAACAACUCAAACAUUGAAAGAUCAUUUUCAUUUUGCAUUCAUACAUACAUAUUUAGCCAGGAUAUUUUGAUUCAUUUCGAUCAUAAUCACUAGGCAUAAAUAGGUUCAUAAAAUAGAUUAUAUAGGUCAUGUUCCCCAAAGAACAGAUCAAUGAAGACGGCAGAUCUUGCCUUCCUGAACUGACAGUGAGGCAGAUCGAAGAAACCAUAGUUUGUAAUUAAAAGAUUGAAGCCACAACGGCGAAUCUUACUCUCCUAGGCGGUGCAAUGGAACAGAUUGAAGCCACAACGGCGAAUCUCACUUCCCCGACAUUGUAAUUAAAAGAUUGAGGCCACAACGGCGAAUCUUACCUUCCCAGGCGAUGUAGUGGAACAGAUUGAAGCUACAACGGUGAAUCUUGCUUCCCCGACACUGCAAUUAAAAGAUUGAAGCCACAACAGCAAAUCUUACUUUCCCAGGCGGUGCAGUGGAACAGAUUGAAGCUACAACGGUGAAUCUCGCUUCCCCGACAUUGCAAUUAAAAAUUGAAGCCACAACGGUAAAUCUUACUUUCCCAGGUGGUGCAACGGAACAGAUUGAAGCUACAACGACAAAUCUCGCUUCCCCGACAUUGCAAUUAAAAGAUUGAAGCCACAACGGCAAAUCUUACUUUCCCAGACAGUGCAAUGGAACAGAUUAAAGCUACAAUGGUGAAUCUUGCUUCCCCGACAUUGCAAUUGAAAGAUUGAAGCCACAACGGCGAAUCUUACUUUCCCAAGUGGUGCAGUAGAGCAAAUUAAAGCUACGACGGUGAAUCUUACUUCCCCGAUAUUGCAAUUAAAAAUAUUGAAGCUGCAACGGCGAAUCUUACUUCCCUGGCAGUACAGUGGAGCAGAUUAAAGCUACGACGGUGAAUCUUGCUUCCCUGAUUUUGCAAUUUAAAAGAUUGAAGCCGCAAUGAAGAAUCUUACUUCUCUGGCAGUGCAAUGGAGCAGAUUAAAGAUACGACGGCAAAUCUUGCUUCCCCGAUAUUGCAAUUUAAAAGAUUGAAGCCGCAAUGACGAAUCUUACUUCCUUGGCAGUGUAGUGGAACAGAUUGAAGCUACAACGACGAAUUUUGUUUCCCCGACAUUGCAGUUUAAAAAGAUUGAAGCUAUAUAUUGCAGAUAUUAUAUCUUUGAAGUUGCAGUAGAGUAGAUCAUAUCAAGUCUUAUCUCCCUGAAGUUGCAGUGGAGCAGACUGAAGAAACUAAUCCUAUCUCCCUAAAGUUGCAGUGGAGCGGAUUAAAAUCACAGAUCUUAUCUCUCUAAAGUUGCAGUAGAGUAGAUCACAUCCAAUCUUAUCUCCCUAAAGUUGCAGUGGAGCAGACUGAAGAAACUAAUCCUAUCUCCCUGAAGUUGCAGUGAAGCGGAUUAAAAUCACAGAUCUUAUCUCUCUAACGUUGCAGUAGAGCAGAUCACAUCCAAUCUUAUCUCCCUGAAGUUGCAGUGGAGCAGAUUGAAGAAACCAAUCAUAUCUUCCUGAAGUUACAGUGAAGCGGAUUAAAAUGAUAGGUCUUAUCUCUCUGAAGUUGCAGAAGAGCAGAUCACAUCAGACUUUAUGCAGUAAAGCAAGUCGAAAAUACCAAUCGUGUCUCCCUGAAGUUGCAGUGGAGUGGAUGAAAACGAUGAAUCAUAUACCUCUGAAGUUGCAGUAGGUCGAAUUGGAUCAAACCUUAUCUCCCUGAAGUCGCAGUGGAGUAGGUUGAAGAUACAAGUCUUAUCUCCCUGACGUUGUAGUGGAGCAGACUAGAACCACAAACAUCGCCCCCUUAAAGUUGCUGCGAAGAAGAUUGAAGCUACAAGUCAGAUCUUUCUGAAGUGCAGUGAAGUAGAUCGAAACAAUAAGACAAAGUGGACUGGAAGGAUGCUACUUGAAGAGAAGCGUCAAGAGAAGUCAAGACUCGGCGAGACCGGGAAAAUUUGGUCUUUCUUAGUCUUUGCUUCAUUCCCGUUACACGACAAUGAAGCAAAGAGGGGCAGCUGUACAGCCUAAAUUUUCCCGGGCCUCCAAACCAAACGGUCCUAAUCCAUUUACAAAAUUUUAACCCAAUCUCGAAGCCCAAUUACAAUACCCGGCCUAAAGCCCAACAGCCCCAAAAAAACCUAAUGGUCAAACUAGGGUUUCAGUUUUCUGAAACCCUAGUCUCUGCUGCAGGUGCGCCGCCAGUACCAUCACCCUACCGCCGCGCCAUCGACCCUGGUCACUUCAGCCACCUGCUUUCUGCCCACCUGCAAAACGAAAAAGAACACGCAAUGGCAGCCCAAAUAGCAGAGAAGCAGUAACAAACAGAGAAAAAGCAAAUAGGCAUUUUGGCUAUAAAAUCAAGAAAUUCAAUGUAAUCAGGGGGCAAAAUCACUGUAAUCGGGGGGAUUUUUCUUUUAUUUCUUUUAUUUUGUUCUUCUUUUCUUUCGGUUAAAACCGAAUCUGCUGUAAGGAAGAAGAAGUUUUUCCUUUGCUUCUACGAUUAUUGAGAAAUAAAAACAAAAACAAAACAAACUUUUGAAGGUUUUUUUUUAGAUUUGCGUUUCUGUUUAUUUAAUUUAAUUUUAUUUUUAUUUUAUCUUCUACAUAAGAAAUAAAUAAUAAAAAGGGAAGGACGAGGACUUACCUGCGCCGUCGCUUGACCUAAAUCGGAAAGAGGGUGGGUUGAGUCUCUCCUCUUCGCUUUUAGGGAUCGAAAAACCCAUAUAUUCGGGUUCAUAUUAGAGCUCGGAAAGGAGGGACCUCCUCGCGCCGCGUCGGCCUUUGGCCGCGGUGACUGCACGGCGAAUCGCCGUCGAGGUUGGCGCCGGAUCUCAGAGGGCCAAAAGGGAUGGAGGCUCUGCCUUUUUUUAUUUUUUUG
rnacentral:lncRNA from 1 species